AUUGAACGCUGGCGGCAGGCCUAACACAUGCAAGUCGAGCGGAGCGGCGGACGGGUGAGUAAUGCCUAGGAAUCUGCCUGGUAGUGGGGGAUAACGUCCGGAAACGGGCGCUAAUACCGCAUACUAUCAGAUGAGCCUAGGUCGGAUUAGCUAGUUGGUGGGGUAAAGGCCUACCAAGGCGACGAUCCGUAACUGGUAUGAGAGGAUGAUCAGUCACACUGGAACGGAGAAACGGUCCAGACUCCUACGUGAGGCAGCAGUGGGGAAGAAUGGACAAUGGGCGUAAGCCUGACAGAGCCAUGCCGCUUGUGUGAAGAAGGUCUUCGGAUUGUAAUGCACUUUAAGUUGGGAGGCGUUACCAACAGAAUAAGCACCGGCUAACUUCGUGCCAGCCGCCGCGGUAAUUC
rnacentral:rRNA from 1 species